GCUUAGCAAUGUGCUGAGGCUCUUAAAAGAUUGGAUCUGAGUGAGAGGGAGACAGAGACAGAAGAGAAAGAGAACCUAGAGACAGAGAGAGGCAGACAGGAAGAAAAAAAAAAAAAAGACUUUCUUUUUCUUUCUAGAGGAAUUCUGCCCAGACUCUGCAGCAGUUGCUAGCAAGCAAGCUUUCUCCUGGAUGUCUCCUGGAAAAGUUGCAAAAUCGCUGUUCACCUGUAAGAACAUGCUCUUUAUCUUCCAGUCUCUUCUUGUCAUUUUGGAAAUUGCAGACAGCCGGGCUCAGGGAGAUGGAUGAAGAGGCAUUCUGCACUCAUGGAAGAACAGAGAAGGAACACGUCACUUUAUGUCAAGCUGAAAGUGGCUUCUUCUGAAGAUAAAGCUAGGUAAAGUCUAUUGUGAAGAGGAGAAUAACUUGAAUGCAGCUAUCAUAUCAAAAUGAAAACACACUUCUGCUCUCUUCACCCACUACACAUCCUGAAUCCUUUUCUUAAUGAUGAAGUCAAAUAGGAUAGCUGAUGAGAAUACAACCGAUGAUCAUUUUUUUCU